rnacentral:rRNA from 1 species
GACAGAGGUGCCGAGCGUUAGGCGGAAUCACUGGGCUUAAAGCGUGUGUAGGCGGGUUUCUAAGUACCUUGUGAAAUCCCAUGGCUCAACCAUGGAACUGCUUGGUAUACUGGGAAUCUUGAGCCACUUAGGGGCUACCGGAACAAAUGGUGGAGCGGUGAAAUGCGUAGAUAUCAUUUGGAACGCCAAUGGUGAAAACAGGUAGCUGGGAGUGUGCUGACGCUGAGACACGAAAGCCAGGGGAGCGAACGGG